CUUCUCUUUUCCCUCUCCCAAAAACUCUCGAUUCCUCUCUCUCUCUGCUGAAGCUUCUACCUUUUUCUUUUCUUUUCUUUUUGACUGGGUCAAAACCCAUAUUUUACAGUUUGCAUCUAGAAAAUCAGUCUACAUUUACUUGUAUUUGGUUCUUGUUCCUGAACGGAUGCUUGUAUCUUCGCUGAGACAUAAUGGCAGGUUUCUAUCCUACUGUCGAAUUCCUGACCAUUUGCCAGUGACCAUUGCUUGUCACAACACUGAUAGAUGUUGGAGCUCAAGCCCUGAACAAAGAACCCUUGUACCUUAUCCAGAAUUCCCAAAGCUUGUUGUGGUAUAUCCCCCUUUCCCUGGGAUCAUUGCUUUUGGUGGAGAUUGAAAGAAGCAGGGAAUUGCAUGUCAUCAUCCAAAACUUCUUGUUUUUCAAAGAGAGGAUUGGAUUCGUAUCAUCAUUACUUCUGCCAAUUUGGUUGCCAAACAGUGGACUGGCAUUUACCAAUACCGUGUGGUGGCAAGAUUUUCCUCGUUGAGGUGCUCCUGAUUUCUCAUCUUUGUUCACUCAAAUGUCUGAUGAUGAAAUAACACAAGGUGCAAAAUCUAAUUUUGCUGCUCAACUAGCAGGGUUUAUGGCAUCUCUUGUGAUUGAUGCACCUUCUCAGGCUUAUUGGGUUGUUGAGUUGGCAAAAUAUGACUUUAACAAGGCUAUGGGAUAUCUAAUUGCGUCAGUGCCUGGAAUCCAUUCUUGUACGCCACAAGACACUUUGGAUCUGACUGAUUUUUUGUCUGUAGGUGUUCUAACUUGUUGCGUAGUUCUGUCACUUGAGAAUGGAUACAUCAUCAAAUAUUGUAGUAGGAGUUAUUGCAAUAGCUCAGUUGGAGCAGAGGAAUCAUAUCUGUUGA